GGCGGCAUAGCCAAGUGGUAAGGCAGAGGUCUGCAAAACCUCCAUCCUCCGGUUCAAAUCCGGAUGCCGCCUCCA
rnacentral:tRNA from 6 species